CGAAAUGCGAUAAGUAAUGUGAAUUGCAGAAUUCAGUGAAUCAUCGAAUCUUUGAACGCACCUUGCGCUCCUUGGUAUUCCUUGGAGCAUGCCUGUUUGAGUAUCAUGAAAUCUUCAAAGUAAAUCUUUUGUUAACUCAAUUGGUUUCUACUUUGGUAUUGGAGGUCUUUGCAGCUUCACACCUGCUCCUCUUUGUUCAUUAGCUGGAUCUCAGUGUUAUGCUUGGUUCCACUCGGCGUGAUAAGUUAUCUUUCGCUGAGGACACUGUAAAAGGUGGCCAAGGUAAAUGCAGAUGAACCGCUUCUAAUAGUCCAUUGACUUGGACAAUACUUUUAUGAUCUGAUCUCAAAUCAGGUAGGACUACCCGCUGAACUUAAGC
rnacentral:misc_RNA from 1 species